rnacentral:rRNA from 1 species
AGAACGAACGCUGGCGGCAUGCCUAAUACAUGCAAGUCGAACGAACUCUUCGGAGUUAGUGGCGCACGGGUGCGUAACGCGUGGGAAUCUGCCCUUGGGUUCGGAAUAACAGUUGGAAACGACUGCUAAUACCGGAUGAUGACGAAAGUCCAAAGAUUUAUCGCCCAGGGAUGAGCCCGCGUAGGAUUAGCUAGUUGGUGAGGUAAAGGCUCACCAAGGCGACGAUCCGUAACUGGUCUGAGAGGAUGAUCAGUCACACUGGAACUGAGACACGGUCCAGACUCCUACGGGAGGCAGCAGUGGGGAAUAUUGGACAAUGGGCGAAAGCCUGAUCCAGCCAUGCCGCGUGUGUGAAGAAGGUCUUCGGAUUGAAAGCAACUUUAAGUGGGAGGAAGGCAGUUACCUAAUACGUAUCUGUUUGACGUUACCGACAGAAUAAGCACCGCUAACUCUGUGCCAGCAGCCGC